UUGAACGCUGGCGGCAGGCCUAACACAUGCAAGUCGAGCGGAUGAAGGGAGCUUGCUCCUGGAUUCAGCGGCGGACGGGUGAGUAAUGCCUAGGAAUCUGCCUGGUAGUGGGGGAUAACGUCCGGAAACGGGCGCUAAUACCGCAUACGUCCUGAGGGAGAAAGUGGGGGAUCUUCGGACCUCACGCUAUCAGAUGAGCCUAGGUCGGAUUAGCUAGUUGGUGGGGUAAAGGCCUACCAAGGCGACGAUCCGUAACUGGUCUGAGAGGAUGAUCAGUCACACUGGAACUGAGACACGGUCCAGACUCCUACGGGAGGCAGCAGUGGGGAAUAUUGGACAAUGAGCGAAAGCCUGAUCCAGCCAUGCCGCGUGUGUGAAGAAGGUCUUCGGAUUGUAAAGCACUUUAAGUUGGGAGGAAGGGCAGUAAGUUAAUACCUUGCUGUUUUGACGUUACCAACAGAAUAAGCACCGGCUAACUUCGUG
rnacentral:rRNA from 1 species